GACGAACGCUGGCGGCGUGCUUAACACAUGCAAGUCGAACGGAAAGGCCCUGCUUUUGUGGGGUGCUCGAGUGGCGAACGGGUGAGUAACACGUGAGUAACCUGCCCUUGACUUUGGGAUAACUUCAGGAAACUGGGGCUAAUACCGGAUAGGAGCUCCUGCUGCAUGGUGGGGGUUGGAAAGUUUCGGCGGUUGGGGAUGGACUCGCGGCUUAUCAGCUUGUUGGUGGGGUAGUGGCUUACCAAGGCUUUGACGGGUAGCCGGCCUGAGAGGGUGACCGGCCACAUUGGGACUGAGAUACGGCCCAGACUCCUACGGGGGGCAGCAGUGGGGAAUAUUGCACAAUGGGCGGAAGCCUGAUGCAGCAACGCCGCGUGCGGGAUGACGGCCUUCGGGUUGUAAACCGCUUUCGCCUGUGACGAAGCGUGAGUGACGGUAAUGGGUAAAGAAGCACCGGCUAACUACGUGCCAGCAGCCGCGGUGAUACGUAGGGUGCGAGCGUUGUCCGGAUUUAUUGGGCGUAAAGGGCUCGUAGGUGGUUGAUCGCGUCGGAAGUGUAAUCUUGGGGCUUAACCCUGAGCGUGCUUUCGAUACGGGUUGACUUGAGGAGGGUAGGGGAGAAUGGAAUUCCUGGUGGAGCGGUGGAAUGCGCAGAUAUCAGGAGGAACACCAGUGGCGAAGGCGGUUCUCUGGGCCUUUCCUGACGCUGAGGAGCGAAAGCGUGGGGAGCGAACAGGCUUAGAUACCCUGGUAGUCCACGCUGUAAACGGUGGGUACUAGGUGUGGGGUCCAUUCCACGGGUUCCGUGCCGUAGCUAACGCUUUAAGUACCCCGCCUGGGGAGUACGGCCGCAAGGCUAAAACUCAAAGGAAUUGACGGGGCCCCGCACAAGCGGCGGAGCAUGCGGAUUAAUUCGAUGCAACGCGUAGAACCUUACCUGGGUUUGACAUGGAUCGGGAGCGCUCAGAGAUGGGUGUGCCUCUUUUGGGGUCGGUUCACAGGUGGUGCAUGGCUGUCGUCAGCUCGUGUCGUGAGAUGUUGGGUUAAGUCCCGCAACGAGCGCAACCCUUGUUCACUGUUGCCAGCACGUUAUGGUGGGGACUCAGUGGAGACCGCCGGGGUCAACUCGGAGGAAGGUGGGGAUGACGUCAAGUCAUCAUGCCCCUUAUGUCCAGGGCUUCACGCAUGCUACAAUGGCUGGUACAGAGAGUGGCGAGCCUGUGAGGGUGAGCGAAUCUCGGAAAGCCGGUCUCAGUUCGGAUUGGGGUCUGCAACUCGACCUCAUGAAGUCGGAGUCGCUAGUAAUCGCAGAUCAGCAACGCUGCGGUGAAUACGUUCCCGGGGCU
rnacentral:rRNA from 1 species